rnacentral:rRNA from 1 species
UAAAGCGAGCGUAGGUGGCUUGAUAAGUCAGAUGUGAAAUCCCCGGGCUUAACCUGGGAACUGCAUCUGAUACUGUUAAGCUAGAGUAGGUGAGAGGGAAGUAGAAUUCCAGGUGUAGCGGUGAAAUGCGUAGAGAUCUGGAGGAAUACCGAUGGCGAAGGCAGCUUCCUGGCAUCAUACUGACACUGAGGCUCGAAAGCGUGGGUAGCAAACAGGAUUAGAUACCCUGGUAGUCCACGCCGUAAACGAUGUUUACUAGUCGUUGGGUCCCUUGAGGACUUAGUGACGCAGCUAACGCAAUAAGUAGACCGCUUGGGGAGUACGGCCGCAAGGUUAAAACUCAAAUGAAUUGACGGGGGCCCGCACAAGCGGUGGAGCAUGUGGUUUAAUUCGAUGCAACGCGAAGAACCUUACCUGGUCUUGACAUACACAGAAUCUUGUAGAGAUACGAGAGUGCCUUCGGGAAUUGUGAUACAGGUGCUGCAUGGCUGUCGUCAGCU